UUGCCCGUGGUUUGGGGUGUCUGUGUGGUAGCUGGUUUCAGCCGCAUUCACUGGAGUUUAUUCUGUUAGCUUCUAAUUAUAGUGGGUGGCAGUAUUAGCCAAAGUUUUAAAUAAGCUAAUCAUCAUUCUAUUAUAAAUUUUAUUUAUGCAAAAGUUUAGUUUAAUUUUUAUAUUCCACCAGGGCAGUUGUUGAGAUCGGUUUUAUUUAGGGUUGGUUGAAGUUGUGAGGGAUGGUGAGGUAAUGAGUUACUUUUAGUACAUGUUCAUAACUCGAUCUUCCUUAGGUGUUACAAAAAAAAUAAAUCUUCUAAGGCAUCAAAAUGACCAUUAGAGUGACAUCGAUGUGGUUUCGAAUAACAAUCUUUCGAUGUUUUUGUUAAAAAGGUUGUCUAAAACUAGAUUAGCAAAAGUUUUAAGCCAAUCAAAUACUAGUGUGUAUAUAACUGAAGAGUUCUUGGGGAAGCUUAUAUACAAGCUUUGGGUGAUUAGUGCCUUUACAUCUUGAUGGCUGUUAGUUUUCCUCACCAAAUAAUCAAUUGUUCUUAUUAAUUUGUUGCCUAACUAAAAUCUUACCCACCAUUAUGAAUGUGCCAAACAUUUUCAUUCAUUUCAGAACAAGUACUUGCCUCAUUACUGUGGUUGAGAUGGUUUGGUAAGGAAGCCCCAAGCUUAAAUGCACCAUUCAAAAAAUCUCCAACUUUUUGUUUGUGUGGACAUUUUCUGUUGAGAGAGACAAUAAUAUAUUAAACUCACACACAUUACAUGGAUGCUACAAGCGAACGACUCGAACCCAACCUUGCAUGGAGGAGCAAUUACUCCAACCACUACACUAGAACAGAGGAAAAAGUUACUGCUUAUAGUCCUCUCCUCUCUACCUGUACCGUACGUAACCUUGAAUUUCAAUAUUGUCUCUACGCAUAGUAUUGUUGUGCUUGUCAAAAAUCAACUAGAUUAAACUUAGUAUCAAACGCAUGUACUUAUUUUAAGCUUUCUACACAAA